rnacentral:rasiRNA from 1 species
CCAGACGUAAUACUCCACUACCCGGAC